rnacentral:rRNA from 1 species
UGCAACGCGAAGAACCUUACCUGGGCUUGACAUCCGGAUCCUGAACAGGAGUGCCUUCGGGAACCUGGAGACAGGUGCUGCAUGGCUGUCGUCAGCUCGUGUCGUGAGAUGUUCGGUUAAGUCCGCUAACGAGCGCAACCCUCGCUGUGUGUUACAAGUGUCACACGGAACUGCCGGUCAUAAACCGGAGGAAGGUGGGAUGACGUCAAGUCAGCAUGGCCUUUAUAUCCUGGGCUACACACACGCUACAAUGGGAAGGGACAAUAGGUUGCGAAGCCGCGAGGCGGAGCCAAUCCAGCAAAACUUCCCUCAGUUCAGAUUGCAGGCUGCAACCCGCCUGCAUGAAGUUGGAGUUGCUAGUAAACGCAGGUCAGCCAUACUGCGUUGAAUACGUUCCCGGGGCUU